AACGCUAGCUACAGGCUUAACACAUGCAAGUCGAGGGGCAGCAUGUCGGUAGCUUGCUACCGGCGAUGGCGACCGGCGAAUGGGUGAGUCACGCGUGUCCAACCUGCCCCGUGCCCGGGCACAGCCCUUGGAAAUGAGGAUUAACGCCCGAUAUGUGCCGUUUCCGCAUGGCGGCGGCAUGAAACGAGACACGGGAUGGGGACGCGUCGGAUUAGCUUGACGGCGGGGCGACGGCCCACCGUGGCGACGAUCCGCAGGGGUUCUGAGAGGAAGGUCCCCCACACUGGCACUGAGACACGGGCCAGACUCCUACGGGAGGCAGCAGUGAGGAAUAUUGGUCAAUGGCCAAGAGGCUGAACCAGCCAAGUAGCGUGCAGGAUGACGGCCCUACGGGUUGUAAACUGCUUUUGCGGGAGGAUAAAGUGCGCCACGCGUGGCGCUUUGCAGGUAUCCCGUGAAUAAGGACCGGCUAAUUCCGUGCCAGCAGCCGCGGUAAUACGGAAGGUCCGGGCGUUAUCCGGAUUUAUUGGGUUUAAAGGGAGCGCAGGCGGAGGUGCAAGCGUGCCGUGAAAGCGCGGGGCUCAACCCCGUACAGCGGCGCGAACUGCUCCCCUUGGUUGCGGGAAGGGAAGGCGGAACUCGUGGUGUAGCGGUGAAAUGCAUAGAUAUCACGAAGAACUCCGAUUG
rnacentral:rRNA from 1 species